UUUUUUUUAUUUUUGUAGGCUUAAAUAUCAUUUUGCCCAAUUAUUUUAGUACUCUUUCUCAGCUUGUUUAGUUCUCUUGUCUCAUCAUAUAUACACACAUAUAUAUAUAUAUAUUUUAUUUUUAUUUAUUUAUUUUAACAAUAUACACACAGAUUGUCUUAAUGGAAAAUGAUAAAAGCCACUACUGUGUGUCUAAUUAGGCGUACUUGAUGAACACAGAGGUUCCCACACGCACACAUACCCACAGAUGUUUUAGCAUGGAGAAACAUAUAAGCGAGUGGAAGGAAGCAUCUUCUACAGAGAUCUCUUGUUCUCAUGAGGUUCAGAAUAAUUGGAUCCAGGCUCAGGACUCGCUCAAGGGAAGAUUAGUUGCUGAAGAUGAUUUCACAUGGCAAUUACCCAAUUCAGAAAAACAGACACCCACAGCAGAGGAGGAAGAAGAAGAAGAAGAAUGUGGAGCACUGAAAUAUGUGGGUGGGGUUGAUAUGAGCUUCUCAAAGGAUGACCAAUCCAUUGCAUGUGCUACCCUUGUUGUUUUGGACCUCCAAACUCUCAAUGUUGUCUAUGAUGAUUACUCUGUUGUCAGGCUCCAAGUCCCAUAUGUUCCUGGCUUUCUUGCCUUCAGAGAGGCUCCUGUUCUUCUAGAGCUAUUAGAGAAAAUGAAGAGCAGUUCUCAUCCCUUUUACCCUCAGCAGUUGUUGAUGGUUGAUGGAAAUGGGUUGCUUCAUCCUCGAGGCUUUGGUUUGGCUUGUCAUCUGGGCGUUCUGGCUGAUCUUCCUACCAUUGGGAUAGGAAAGAAUUUGCAUCAUGUGGAUGGUCUUACCCAAUCUAGAGUGAGACAGCUCCUUGAACCAGAAGGAAAGCUCGUGGAAGAUAUUAUUACUCUAAGUGGUGACUCUAGGCAGACUUUGGGAGCAGCAAUGCGAUCGACUCAGGGCUCGUUGAAGCCAAUAUUUAUUUCAGUUGGUCACCGAAUAUCUCUUACUUCCGCUGUCAAGAUUGCUAAAAUGACUUGCAAAUACCGUGUGCCAGAGCCAAUCCGGCAGUUGAUACCCAAGGAAUUGUUUGCACCCAAGAGGAGUCGUCUCAUUUUCAAGUCUAUAUUCACACAUUUGACAAUGAGAACUCCUACCGGUGAACUCAAGAAUUCCCCUAGUUUAUUCUUUUUAUUAUAUCAAAGAUAUUAUAAUUUUUAACCCCAUUUUAUACUUUCGAUAAUUAUUGUAGGCUGAUAUAAGAUCAAGAGACUACCUUCGGAAGCAUCAAUGGGUUUGUUAAUACAAUGUAACUGCACUUACUAGCUUGCAAUACAUGCAAAAUAAGGUGAUAUGCCCAUUUUUUUAUGGUAGAAAUGCCAGCACAUCAAUGGAACUUGGUAGCUCUACUUCUUUUGCACAAUUUUAAAACAAAAAAGAGUUUCAUGCAUAUUAGGUUCUAGUGGCAAGAUUUUGUGUAUCAAUCAUGAUAUCAUGAUAUCAACAAGAUUGUUAACUUUAUUUUAAACAUAUAGAUAUAUGUUUUGCUCCAGUGAAUGCAUUCUUAGAAAAGCAUAAUAUUACGCACAUAGUUCAUCACUUUUUUUAAUGCUUUCACUUAUUGAGGUUGGUCCUAUGUGUCAUCUUUCUCCAAGAACUAUACAGCUCGACUAAACCUUCAAUGCUCUGCUGUCUUGGAAUGCUUCUAAUCUCAAUGGUAGGAAUCUGGUUGCUGUCAGCAACAAACUCACUUGAGCUGCUGCCAUCUUCUGCAUAUAUUCGGAAAGAAACAGGAGGUUUCAUAAGAAUGAGUUCAAGGAUGCUAUCACAAUCCAGAUGAUCAAGUGUUGAGAUCCAGACUGCUCUCAAUUUCCAACCUAAAUCACUCUCGACCCAACAAUGGAUGCAAAGAGUCACACCUCGGACUGCUACAAAAAACACCAUCGGAUUUCAAAGUAGCACUAUCUAAUUCAAAAUUUUCACCCAAUUGUUCCUGAAUGAGUUUUGAGACAGGACGGAUGCAGUUUAGUGAAGCUGUUUUUAUUUAUAGUUUUGAUGGUGCAGUUUUGCUACUACUGUCGAGUUCUGUUUCUUUGUUCUCUUGUUGCUGUUUUGUUCAGGCUGUGGUCUUUGCAUUAGCUCUUUUGUUUUGCUCUUUGAUUGUGCAUAAAGGGGGGUAUGCCCCCCUCUGGAGUCCUGUACAUUUGUUUAUGGUUCUAUACAAUCUGCUUACUUGCCAAAAUACAAAAAAAGGCAUGCAAUUAAUUGACAUUUCUUGUAUGAUUUAAAGGAGGCACUAAAGUCGAUCGCAUAGACUUGCUCAAUUCUA